ACUGGCUCCCAGGGCUGGGGCUGGAGGGGCCUCGGUGAAUGGCUGCCCUCUGAAUCCCCUCCCUGCUUGAACUCGGGUCCUCCUCUCCUCUUCACGUCUCCCUGGGAAAGCAAUACCAGGCGGAAAGGGAGAGCACCUCUGCUAUCCGUGCACGGGGUUUCACCCAAACCCAUAGCGUCCUGGCAGGAAGAGGCGAGCGCUGGGGUCCGGCCUGCUGGGAGGGAAGAAUGGAGAAGGAGAAGGAAAGUCCAAGGAGAAGCCUCACCCUCAUAGCUCAUUUUGGGACAGCCGGCCUGCCCUGCCACACAGAGGUGCUGGGGAAGCGUGUCCGCUGAGGGACCCUUAGGGAGACCUCUGGCCACCGAAUGAGGCUCUCAGCUGACUCCUCCUUAACUUGUUGGUGAUCCUGUCCCAGGGUUAACAGACCAGGGUCUCUCAACCUCAGCGCGAUGGACGUUCUGGGCCAGGUAAUGCACUGCUGUGGGGGCUGCUUCAGGCACUGUGCGAGGCACAGCGGCACCCUGGCUCUACCCAGGACAUGUCGUGAGCACCGCUUCUCCUACGGUGGCAACCAGAAGGGUCUCCAGACGUGGCCAAAUGAGAAGCACUGAUUAAUAUCUAUUCCUAGGCCAGGCAUGGUGCCUCACGCCUGUAAUCCCAGCACUUGUGAGGCUGACAUGGCAGAACCACUUGAGCCCAUGAGUUCAAGACCAGCCUGGGCAGCAGAGUGAGACCCUGUCUUUACAAAAACGUAAAAAUUAGCUUGCUGUGGUGACGUGUGCCUGUAAUCCCAGCUACUUGGUCAACUGAGGCUCGAGGAUUGCUUGAACUCGAGAGGUAGAAGAUUCAGUAAGCUAUGAUUGCAGCACCGUACUCCAGCCUGGGCGACACAGUGAGACCCUGUCUUCAAAGGAAAAAAAAAACCCCAAAACCCCAGAAACUAAAAUCCAGCCAGAAAAGAGAAUUAUUGCUUCCUUUCUAGACCACAUGAAUGGAUUUUCUUAUUUAAGAUGUAUGCAAAGCAACUGUAACCAUUCAGACCACUCUUCAGGGGUUAAGGACUUUCAAAGAAAAGCGCAUCAGACCCUGACGGCCCAGGGCUUCCCAAAGCAGCCUCUUGGGGCGGGGCCUACAGGUUUUAUAUCACAUUGGAAGUGGAUUCCUCUGUGCCUCCUUUUUCCCCUUUGACAUUGAUAUGAUGAAGAGAUCUAAAAGAUUACCUGUGUCCUCCUUCUGGAUUUGGAUGAUCAAUUCUUCAUGGUAAUGUUUAACUUGUUAAACACUUGCUUUUCUGUCCCCCAUAUAUUCAAUCGAUUGGAAGUAGGUCUACGAGUUUGAUUGCAUUCACGCUGAUCAUUUUGGCAAGAGUGUUUCAUAGAUGAUGGUGUGUAUCCCAUACUACAUCGUGUAGGAGGCAUAUAGUGAUAGUGGCUCAGCAUUAAUGAUGCAAAGAUUAGUCAUUCCAUCUGAUGGAUUUGUUUUAACUGUAUUUCAGUCUCUUCCUUAUCUAAGACUAAUGAAUAGAAUAUUAUCCUUGGCAUCAUCUGAUUAAAAGAUACUUAUCCAGUUGACUUUAAAAAAUAAGUUAUUUUGAUUGUAAAAGUAAUAAUAGUUGCAAACAUUCAGAGACAGAAAGGAUGUGAAGAAGCCAUUGGAAGUUCCAUGUAAUUCCACCAUUCACACUGUUAGUGUUUAUUAACCACUGUGUGUGUGUAUUUCCCAUAAAGUGGGUGGUUAAAUUGUCAAAAUUUUUGAACUACCAGCUAACUAUGAGUUUGAAUCUCCUGGAUUAGUUCUUAAACAUUGUUGACAUCAAACAUAUAAAUAAUACUUGAUAUUAAUUAGAAGAAGGUUUUUCUUGGUGAUACAUAUGGAAAUACAUUAAUAUUAAUAUUAAAAUUCACUCAGUUUUUUUUCUGGACUCAAAAAUCCCUUUGGGGUUGUUGCUCUGUCACUUGGAAAAGAGCACGGAUUCGAAGGGAAACAUGGUCCCAUUAAUUUAGAAUGAUAAGAACCAUUGGAAGCAGAUGCUAAUUAUGCUAGGGGAAGAAUGAGUACAUGACAGAAUAAAGGAGACAAGAAGAAGUGCCGUUUGAGACAGAGCAUAAGGUGAGAGAAAUGGUGUGUCAAACUUUAAAUGAGAGAAUGGCUGAAAAGGUCUUUUAGUUAGAAAAAAGUUAUGUACAAAGGCAGAAAGAUUUUUACCUUUUAAAAAUGUUUUUAUUAGAAAGAAUUCUAAAAAGAAAACAAUGUAUCCAGCUCCAGUGUAUCCAUCUCUCAACUUCAACAGUCAUCAACCCUUGCUCAGUCUGGUUUCAUAUAUAUCCCAUCCACUACUAACUCUCCUCAUGCUAUUUAGAAGCCAGUCCCAAACAUUAGCUCAUUUCAUCCUUCAAUCUUUAAAAUGUUUCUCUAAAAGAUAAUAAAAUAAAAAACAAAGCAUUAUUACUCAGCUAGAGCAAAUAACAAUUUCUUAAUGUCAUCAAAUAUUUAAGACUAUUUCCAUUUUUAUAUAUACCAAUAUAUAAGGUUUUAAAAAAAUUAACUCAGGAUCUAAAUAAACUCUAUCCACUGCUAUUAGUCAAUAUGUCUUUAAGAGCCUUCCUCUUUUUUAAUCUGAGAAAUAAUUACAUACAGCGAAAUGAACAAAUCUUGAAUGUGUGAUUUGGUUAGUUUUACAAAUAUAUUCACCCUCCUAACCUACACCUGAUCAAGAUAUAGAACCCUUUCUUCAACCGAGAAAGUUCCCUUAUUCAUAUCUGUCUCUUGCCUUCACAGGCAACUACUGCAGAAAAUGGAAAAAACAAAUCUUUCCAAAAAAAUGAGACAGGAAAAACUCCAUACAUUUAUAGAUAAACAGUGCCUCAACUCCUACUUCACAGAAACUUUCUAGGAUUAGUGUCUGCAUGGUGUGUUAGUCCCAUGAUUCUACUUUUAACCUGUGUCUUCAUGUUAAAGCGUGUCUCUUACAGAUAGAAAAUGAUUGGUUUUUGUGCAUUCCACCUCCCUCCUCCACAGUCUGCAAAUCUUUGCCUUUCAGUUGAGUGUUUAGUUCCUUUACAUUUAAUGUAACUAUUCAUAUAGUUGGAUUUAUGUCUAUGUUGUGAUGUGCUUUCUAAUUUUUGUAACCGUUCUUGAUUUUCCUGUUUCUUCUCCCUGUCUUCUUUUGGGUUAACUGAAUAUUUUUUAGCACUAAUUGUUAAUUUCUCUAAUAAUUUUUAAGCUGUGUCUUUUAAUGUUAUUUUUUAGUGCUUGCUCUUGGGAUUAUAAUAUUUAUAUUUAAUACAGUCUAACUAGAGUUAAUAUUGUAACAUUUCACAAAAAAAAUGUAAUUUUUUUACAACUAUAGAGUAUUAUUUGUUUAUACCAUAGUUCCCUUUGUUGUUUAGUCUGUUGUCAUAUGUCUUACACUGAAAUACAUUAAAAGUGCACAGUGCAAUGUUAAUAUUUUUGCUUUUAACAAUCAGU
ensembl:lncRNA